rnacentral:rRNA from 1 species
UACGUAGGGCGCAAGCGUUGUCCGGAAUUAUUGGGCGUAAAGAGCUCGUAGGCGGCUUGUCACGUCGGAUGUGAAAGCCCGGGGCUUAACCCCGGGUCUGCAUUCGAUACGGGCUAGCUAGAGUGUGGUAGGGGAGAUCGGAAUUCCUGGUGUAGCGGUGAAAUGCGCAGAUAUCAGGAGGAACACCAGUGGCGAAGGCGGAUCUCUGGGCCAUUACUGACGCUGAGGAGCGAAAGCGUGGGGAGCGAACAGG